CAGAUGUUUGUGAUCAGUUAGCCAUCACUAGGAAUGAUCUGAGAUUGGCCUGGGGUAUUUUAUGGAUAUUGUUGAGAUUCACAUUGGUCCAUUGUGAGUACUAUUCCUAAACCCAAAAUUCAGAAACCCUUAGGUGAUAAAAUCCCCUCACCCACUGUUUAAACAAUUUCUCUAUAUUAUAUGGGUUAGAUACAUCCUAAAAAGUCAACUAAGGUCAAAUAUGGUCUUAUAUGAUGCAGUUAUUUAAC